GAUGAACGCUGGCGGCGUGCCUAAUACAUGCAAGUCGAGCGAACAGACGAGGAGUUUGCUCCUCUGACGUUAGCGGCGGACGGGUGAGUAACACGUGGAUAACCUACCUAUAAGACUGGGAUAACUUCGGGAAACCGGCGCUAAUACCGGAUAAUAUAUUGAACCGCAUGGUUCAAUAGUGAAAUACGGUUUUGCUGUCACUUAUAGAUGGAUCCGCGCCGCAUUAGCUAGUUGGUACGGUAACGGCUUACGAAGGCUACGAUGCGUAGCCGACGUGAGAGGCUGAUCGGCCACACUAGAGCUGAGACACGGUCAAGACGCCUGAGAGAGGCAGCAGUAGGCAAUGUUCGGCAGUGGGCGAGAGUUUGACGGAACAACGCCGAGUGAGUGAUGGAGAUCUUCGGAUCGUAAAACUGUGUUAUUAGGGAAAAACAGAUGUGUAAGUAAAUAAGCACUUAUUGACGGUACCUGGUCAGGAAGCCACGGCUAACUACGUG
rnacentral:rRNA from 1 species